rnacentral:rRNA from 1 species
AUGGGCGGAAGCCUGAUGCAGCAACGCCGCGUGCGGGAUGACGGCCUUCGGGUUGUAAACCGCUUUCGCCUGUGACGAAGCGUGAGUGACGGUAAUGGGUAAAGAAGCACCGGCUAACUACGUGCCAGCAGCCGCGGUGAUACGUACGGUGCGAGCGUUGUCCGGAUUUAUUGGGCGUAAAGGGCUCGUAUGUGGUUGAUCGCGUCGGAAGUGUAAUCUUGGGGCUUAACCCUGAGCGUGCUUUCGAUACGGGUUGACUUGAGGAAGGUAGGGGAGAAUGGAAUUCCUGGUGGAGCGGUGGAAUGCGCAGAUAUCAGGAGGAACACCAGUGGCGAAGGCGGUUCUCUGGGCCUUUCCUGACGCUGAGGAGCGAAAGCGUGGGGAGCGAACAGGCUUAGAUACCCUGGUAGUCCACGCUGUAAACGGUGGGUACUAGGUGUGGGGUCCAUUCCACGGGUUCCGUGCCGUAGCUAACGCUUUAAGUACCCCGCCUGGGGAGUACGGCCGCAAGGCUAAAACUCAAAGGAAUUGACGGGGCCCCGCACAAGCGGCGGAGCAUGCGGAUUAAUUCGAUGCAACGCGUAAAACCUUACCUGGGUUUGACAUGGAUCGGGAGUGCUCAAAGAUGGGUGUGCCUCUUUUGGGGUCGGUUCACAGGUGGUGCAUGGCUGUCGUCAGCUCGUGUCGUGAGAUGUUGGGUUAAGUCCCGCAACGAGCGCAACCCU